UACGAAGGAGGCUAGCGUUGCUCGGAAUCACUGGGCGUAAAGCGCACGUAGGCGGCUUUCUAAGUCAGGGGUGAAAUCCUGGAGCUCAACUCCAGAACUGCCUUUGAUACUGGGAAGCUCGAGUCCGGAAGAGGUGAGUGGAACUGCGAGUGUAGAGGUGAAAUUCGUAGAUAUUCGCAAGAACACCAGUGGCGAAGGCGGCUCACUGGUCCGGUUCUGACGCUGAGGCGCGAAAGCGUGGGGAGCAAACAGG
rnacentral:rRNA from 1 species